GGCAAGAUGGCCGAGUGGUUAUGGCGUGUGACUCAAGCGAAAGCUUGCCAGGACUAAGACUGGCACGGGUUCUCAUGGGCUUUGCCCGCGUGGGUUCGAAUCCCACUCUUGUCA